AUUAAACUGAAGAGUUUGAUCCUGGCUCAGAUUGAACGCUGGCGGUAUGCUUAACACAUGCAAGUCGAACGGAAACGAUGGUAGCUUGCUACCAGGCGUCGAGUGGCGGACGGGUGAGUAACGCGUAGGAAUCUGCCUGAUAGUGGGGGAUAGCCCAGAGAAAUCUGGAUUAAUACCGCAUAAUCUCUAUGGAGUAAAGGAGCCCUCUUCUUGAAAGGUUUCGCUAUCAGAUGAGCCUGCGUAAGAUUAGCUUGUUGGUGAGGUAAAAGCUCACCAAGGCGACGAUCUUUAGCUGGUCUGAGAGGAUGA
rnacentral:rRNA from 1 species